GUCGGCGUGGUGACCGUGCAGGCACAGUCCGUAUCGCUGACCACCGAAUUGCCGGGCCGUACCUCGCCGUUCCGCGUGGCCGAGGUCCGGCCGCAGGUCAACGGCAUCGUCCUGAAGCGCCUGUUCACCGAAGGCGGCACGGUCAAGGCCGGCCAGCAGCUGUACCAGAUCGA
rnacentral:ncRNA from 1 species